UACGUAGGGGGCAAGCGUUGUCCGGAAUCAUUGGGCGUAAAGCGCGUGUAGGCGGCCACGUUAGUCCGUUCUGAAAGCCCUGGGCUCAACCCCGGGAGGCGGAUGGAUACUGCGUGGCUCGAGUCCGGAAGAGGCGAGUUGAAUUCAUGGUGAAGCGGUGAAAUGCGCAGAUAUCAGGAGGAACACCAAUGGCGAAAGCAGCUCGCUGGGACGUAACUGACGCUGAGACUCGAAGGCGUGAUAAGUAAACAGG
rnacentral:rRNA from 1 species